rnacentral:lncRNA from 1 species
UGAAUAAUAAACAAUAGACUUUAUUAAUAUAAAUGUCAAUUACAAGCAUUCAGGAAUUACACUUAGAGGAAAAAGAAAUAAAAGAAGAAAGAAAAAGUCCUAAACUAAACCUAUACUAAACUAUCUAGUUCUUCAUCUUCUGCUUCUUUCUUCCAGUUCAUCAACCUGCAAAACAAGAAACAAGAAACAGGAAAAACUUGAUCAAGGUUUAAAUGUAGCAUUCCCCUUAGCAAAAUGCCUUUGCUGUAGGAGCUAGCACUUACGAGUUUGGAAACAUUAGUCAAACCCCAAUCAUAUUAAGUUGAUCAAAGAAACAGUAGAAGAGAGCCAAUACUGCAUAAAUGGAGCCAAUAACCCAAAAGACAGAAGUAGAGCCAGCAAAGUAUAGAUCAAAGCCAAACCCAAAGAUCAACUCAAACUAGAACCAACUCCAUGAUUAGGGGAUCCCUCAAUUAAGCUUGGGUUAGUUUUCAGAUGAAAUCCAACAAACCCACUACUAAUCAACUAGCCCAGAGGUAGGGUUCGAAGUAGGGAUUGUCCUCAGGCAGCCUGGUAGUGCUAGGACUAUUGCAUCAUUGGAUCAAGUAGUGCAGCAUCUUUAAGUAACGAUAAGAGCCUCAGGACACCAUCAUUGGCAUGGCAAGAUUAAGGAGCACCUGUUCUUAUCAGUGAGAGUAGGAGAGAAAGAAAGAAAGUGAAGAGACCAGUGCAGCAUCUGUUCAAAUCAGAUUUAAGAGAGAGGGAAUUGGCAAGGAAAGAUAUAGUCCAUAACCUGCAAGAAGAAAUAGGCCAUUGAUAGCACAUUUACUAAACAUCUGCUAUAAGCAGAACACAUACACCCACUUACACAUGGGUACUAUUCUGUAUAUAGGUACACAAGCACAACACAUGCACUUGGUAUAGAUAGGAGUAUAAGCAUGCAUCUAAAUUAUCUGAAACAUAUGAAAUAGCUAAUGCAAAGAAAGAAUUAUCACUACAUGCAACCGUCAGGACUAUGUCCUGUACAAUAUACAACUAAACCACCAGUAGAUAAUGUACUAAACCAUACAAGAAAUACCAAUACAUGGUAUUUAGAUAAAGACUAGUAUAUAUCAAACACAGAUACCAAAGAGAAACUAUAAUUUUAUACCACUACAGGAGCAAAUCAUGAAGUACACAGAGUAAUUGCAGUAAAGAGAUGAAUCAGUAUAUGUUGAUCAAUAAGAGAGUUACGGCUAUAUAUAAAUGAAGGACUAUAUCCUUUAUAAGAUAACAAAGAAACAGUAGCACUUAUGCAUAUGAACAAACAAAACCAGCAGCCAACCAAUAAAGAAACUAGCAUGUGCUAUAUGACAGGAACAAUAACAUCUAUAAGACCAAGAUAAUUGAAAUGAUAGGCCAACAUUAGGGUCAUGCAAUCAUUCGAUCCCAUCAUUGCAGCACUAGUUGAGCAACAAAUCAAAUAUAACAGUAGUUCCAUUGGUUCAACCAACAAGUUAACAAAAGUUUACUUCCCACUACUAAUUUUGCAACUCGUGAUAAUAAAGAAAACAGAGCACAAAUAAAUAGGAAUGAUCUUUUCCAUGACACAAGCACAGCAAGCACAAACAAAAUCACCCAUACGCAUGAAACAGAGCAAGGUACUAAUAUAGCAGCACAAGAGCGGGAGCUAGAGGUAGGAGAUGGAUUCACAGGAGAGGAGGUUGGUCGAUGCCGCACACGACCACGUCGCCGUCACGCGGUGGAUGUUGUAGUCGAGUUGGACCAUGUGCGGGGUGUCGUCGUGGCGGUGGAUGACCUGGUUGUCGUCAUCGUCCACAGAGGAUGCCUGCUGCUCCGAAUCUAACAAACAAGUAAGUGCUAGUGUCAUUGAUCUAGUACAGAAAUUAAGCAAGCUAGUAUAGGAGACACGCGUGCUGCUGCUAGUAUCUAUAGAAAUAAAUCAAGCUGCAUGUGUGUGUGCUUGAGCUAGCUUAGUACGUACAGUCCAUGGUUGGGCUCCAAAACUAAUAGAGCAUGCUAGCGUCAACAGAGUCAAUCACAAGGUUAUUUUGUUGUUGUUGCUAGCAGUGCUAGCUGUAUGUAUUGAUCCAUCCAUCUAUGACCUAACUAAUGUUGUUGUAUCUCUAGACUAAGUGCAGCAACACAAGAAAAACUAAAACUACAGAGCACAUGUGUACGUAACUACUAUACUCAUCCAUGGAAAAUUGUACCAAACCAUCCAUACAUAGCCAGAUUGCAAUGGAGUGGAUUUAACACAAGACAUGAAAAAUUGAUGAGCCAAAUGAUUUUUAGUAUUACUAACUUGAAAGGAAGCUCACUGUUUCCAUCUUCUAUCUAUCCAUGAUUUUAUUUUUCUGAAGCAAGCAUCAAAAAGCACAAUGACAAUCGAAUUUCACACAAAAACUGAACCAAUACUUGCUGUUAUGUAGUGUCCAUGACAAUUGCAAUUCAUGUCCACUCCAGAUCAGAUUUGCAAGGGCUAGAAAGAGAGGUUGUAGCUCACCAUGUAUGGGGGUAGGAGGUGGAUGCAGGGGCGGGGUGGAGGGUGUCCUGCAGAAGAAGCUUCGCCAUUAGAGCAACCUGCACAAAACAGAGGAAGGGGAGAUGAAUAAAUCAUGGUGAGGAAAAGGGCCUUCCACAUGAUUAGAUCGGGAAGAGAAACAACAACAAAAAGACCAAAAAAAUCCCUUCCAUGGCAUGCUGUACUAGGAGCAGCUCCUCUCUCUCCGCUAGGGUUUGGGGCGCUGGGAGGCUCCAUGGUGCCGCUGCGUGGUGGGGGACAAGGGAAUCCAUCUCCAUGGCGGCGUCCCGCCCCAUGGAGGUGCGCCCCUCCUGCCGUCGUCGCCGGCACGCCCAUGGCGACCUGCAGAGAAGGAAGAGAAUAUGAGGUGAGGUGAGGAGGAGAUGGUGGGCGAAGGAGGGGGAGGGGCUUACCAGUGCUGGAUCCGGUCACCUAUGGCCUCGCCGUGGCCUGCCAUGGCGGAUCCCGGCGAACAAAAGGGGAUGCAAAACCCUAGCCAGUGGGGGAGCCGCGGAUCUGCAUGGAGGUAAGCCAGAUGCGGACCAAGGGGAUCUCGCCGGCGUGCUGCGCGCGGCCGGAGCUCGCCGGAACCGUGCGGCGUGGGUGGAGGCAGCGGCGAGGGAGAGAGGGGUUCGGAGGGGGAGAGAGGAGGCGACGAGGGUUUGGGUGGGUUCGAGCAAGAGAGAGUGUGUGUGUGUGUGUUGGUGCGUUGGGUCGGAUGGAUGGAUGGAUGUGGGAUUGUGGGAUUCCUGGGCACAAAUGGACGGUAGGAUGUGAUCCAGGUCAUCGAUCCGUGGCACAAAUGGAUCCACCAAUGAGAAUAAGUGAAACUGAAAUUGAGUGUGUGGGUCUCUCUCUUGAUUUUUUUUCUUUUUUUCUAAUUCUGAUUUCAUUCGCGGGCUGUUUUUUUCGGUGAAAAUGAAAGGAAAUGAUAUAUGGUUGGCGGGCCGAUGGGCUGGGUUUCGAAAGCAUCGCGUGCAUGUUUCAUUUGGCUUUUGGAACAUGGCAUGGUGUUGAGCAGAUCCUACACGUUUCGUUCGGCUUUCGGAACACGAAACUCAAAUUAAUUGUCGGCUCACGUCAUGGAGGUCGAGGAAGAACCGGCGUUCGUCAUACACCUAUGCCUACGGCUGCCGUCGGCAUAGAUCACGUCAGCGUAGUCUUGUCAGACCGUCGUCAUAGUUUAGCCGUCGGCAUAGGGGCCUAUGCCGACGGCUUCUGUCCGGCCGUCGGCAUAGUUUAGCCGUCGGCAGUGAUUUUCACCUGACGGCAACGGACGAUGCCGUCAAAAGCGCUGACGAAUCACGGGCCGCCGCGUGCCAGAGGUAUGCCUAUGGCAAAUCCGUCGGCAUAGGUGAAAAUCUAUGCCGACGGCUUUGCCGUCGGCAUACCUCUGCCACGUGGCGGCCUCCGGCGACUCCUGGCAGCAGGGGUAUGCCUACGGCAAAGCCGUCGGCACAGAUUUUCACCUAUGCCGACGGCUUUGCCGUAGGCAUACCUCUGCCACGUGGCGGCCUCUGGUGACUCCUGACAACAUGGCUUUGCCGUCGGCAUAGUCCUGCCACGUGGCAGCUCAUGGUUGCUCCUGGCUGAGUACUAUGCCUACGACUUUGCCGUAGGCAUAGAUGAUCUAUGCCGACAGCUUUGCCGCAGGCAUAGCCCUCGGCUAGGAGCUCUCUAUAUUGAUGAAUAAAUAAUACAAGUGAUAUUGCAAAAAGUGAAUAAAAGAAACUAUAUUCAUAAUAUAUGGAACACUGCAAUUAUUUUGUCUGAAUAAUAAACAAUAGACUUUAUUAAUAUAAAUGUCAAUUACAAGCAUUCAGGAAUUACACUUAGAGGAAAAAGAAAUAAAAGAAGAAAGAAAAAGUCCUAAACUAAAUCUAUACUAAACUAUCUAGUUCUUCAUCUUCUGCUUCUUUCUUCCAGUUCAUCAACCUGCAAAACAAGAAACAAGAAACAGGAAAAACUUGAUCAAGGUUUAAAUGUAGCAUUCCCCUUAGAAAAAUGCCUUCGCUGUAGGAGCUAGCACUUACGAGUUUGGAAACAUU